rnacentral:rRNA from 1 species
AUUGAACGCUGGCGGCAGGCCUAACACAUGCAAGUCGAGCGGAUGAAGGGAGCUUGCUCCUGGAUUCAGCGGCGGACGGGUGAGUAAUGCCUAGGAAUCUGCCUGGUAGUGGGGGAUAACGUCCGGAAACGGGCGCUAAUACCGCAUACGUCCUGAGGGAGAAAGUGGGGGAUCUUCGGACCUCACGCUAUCAGAUGAGCUUAGGUCGGAUUGGCUAGUUGGUGGGGUAAAGGCCUACCAAGGCGACGAUCCGUAACUGGUCUGAGAGGAUGAUCAGUCACACUGGAACUGAGACACGGUCCAGACUCCUACGGGAGGCAGCAGUGGGGAAUAUUGGACAAUGGGCGAAAGCCUGAUCCAGCCAUGCCGCGUGUGUGAAGAAGGUCUUCGGAUUGUAAAGCACUUUAAGUUGGGAGGAAGGGCAGUAAGUUAAUACCUUGCUGUUUUGACGUUACCAACAGAAUAAGCACCGGCUAACUUCGUG